CAAAAUAUAACUUAAAUAAAGUAUUUCGUUUACACCGAACCCAUAUCUGUUUAAACCAGAUUAUUUUGA
rnacentral:tRNA from 1 species